rnacentral:rRNA from 1 species
GACGAACCGUGCGAACGUUGUUCGGAAUCACUGGGCUUAAAGGGCGCGUAGGCGGGCGACCAAGUCAGGGGUGAAAUCCUCCGGCUCAACCGGAGAACAGCCUUUGAUACUGGUCACCUCGAGGGAGGUAGGGGCAUGUGGAACUUCCGGUGGAGCGGUGAAAUGCGUAGAUAUCGGAAGGAACGCCGGUGGCGAAAGCGACGUGCUGGAUCACUACUGACGCUGAAGAACGAAAGCUAGGGGAGCAAACAGG